rfam:Flavobacterium sp. LM5 Flavobacterium_sp_LM5_contig1, whole genome shotgun sequence.
UAAGGUGGUUAUUGCGGCGGGGCUCACCUCUUCCCAUUCCGAACAGAGAAGUUAAGCCCGCCUGCGCAGAUGGUACUGCAAUUUGUGGGAGAGUAUGUCGCCGCCUUUC